GGAGGNNNNGAGCGUUGUUCGGAAUCACUGGGCGUAAAGGGCGUGUAGGCGGUCCGCUAAGUCUGAUGUGAAAGCCCGGGGCUCACCCCCGGAGGUGCAUUGGAAACUGGCGGACUCGAGUCCCGGAGAGGAGGGUGGAAUUCCUGGUGUAGCGGUGAAAUGCGUAGAUAUCAGGAGAAACACCGGUGGCGAAGGCGGCCCUCUGGACGGUGACUGACGCUGAGACGCGAAAGCGUGGGGAGCAAACAGGAUUAGAUACCCUGGUAGUCCACGCUGUAAACGAUGAGCACUAGGUGUCGUGGGUAUUGACCCCCGCGGUGCCGCAGCUAACGCAUUAAGUGCUCCGCCUGGGGACUACGGCCGCAAGGUUA
rnacentral:rRNA from 1 species